AGUUGGAGAGGACAGGAAAGGAGGGCGUGGCUUCCGGCGUUUGGCGGGAUCUUUGUCUCUCGCUGGCGUUGGCACAGGAACUUGGGAUCCAUCUCCUCUUUCGCCUCCUCCACCUUGGGAGCCCCGGGCUACUCUCUCACAGACCCUGUUGCCCUGUGAUCUGUAGGUCCUUGGGGACCCACAGUUAAGAUACCAGGACAUCCUGGAAGCUGGGAAACGAUUUCUUCCAGACCAUGGCUGGAGAAGUAAAGAAGGUGUGUUUUGCCUGAUUCAGGGACUAUAGAGAGAACCAAGUUCUGCAGGCCUGUCACCUAAGUCUCAGAUAUGUAUUCAUUUCCUACCACCGUAGUGGAAGAGAGACUAUCCGUGUCUUUACACCUGGUAGCAUUUCCAAAAGUAAGCUGUGAGAUUCUGCUUGAAAUCACCUCUCAGACAAAUAAAAAACAGACCUGGGAGACAUGCUACACUCAUUCUGCUGAAGAAAUAGUAUAUUUUGCAGACCCAGGCUGGCUUCUCCUUCUGUUCCUGGUUCACCGAGUGCAGUGUGUGCUCAUUGCAUCCUGUGCAAGCGUCACUGUGCUGUGUGCUACUGCCUAGGUAAGCAUCAUUCUUCGGGGAGAACCUUUCUGAAAACAAAGCUGCAUUCCAAAAAGUUAAAACCAUGCUACUUACUGUACUGAGGUAAAAAUUAAAAGACCUAGGGGACUCAUCCAAAAGUUAAAACAUAAAUAAAUAACUUGGAACAUUAA